GAAACCGUUUGCAGGGAAACAGAUGGACCCACGAAGUCCAGUUGAGUGUGAAAUUCAUAUUUCAAGACUAGUCAAGCUAAAUUACAUACUUCGAAAGAAUAUGUUUUUUAGCUUUUGACUGUCAAGAGAUGCAUUUUUCACAUUCACGAUGGAGCUCUGACUUCUUAGUCUAACCAUGCUGCUUAGGGCAGCUCAUAAAUGUAGUAGAACUCUUGUGGUUCUCGAUACAUUUUUGAGUGUGCAGCAAGGUUUAACUGAGAGGUUGAAUUUCUCACGUUUGUGAGUGAUUCAGUUUAUCAGUGAGUAUACUAGCUAAGGAAGGCGGCAGGUGGCAAUUUGCGAUUCUUGUAGUUGAAAUUGUCAUUCGUUCGCUUUCCAAGAUAGCUAGUAUAUUUGCUUAUGAUAAUCUAGAGUAAGUAGGUCGGUCAUCCAUCUGACC
rnacentral:rRNA from 1 species